rnacentral:rRNA from 1 species
CGACCGGCGCACGGGUGAGUAACACGUAUCCAACCUGCCGAUAACUCGGGGAUAGCCUUUCGAAAGAAAGAUUAAUAUCCGAUAGCAUAUCAAUCUCGCAUGAGAUUGAUAUUAAAGAAUUUCGGUUAUCGAUGGGGAUGCGUUCCAUUAGUUUGUUGGCGGGGUAACGGCCCACCAAGACUACGAUGGAUAGGGGUUCUGAGAGGAAGGUCCCCCACAUUGGAACUGAGACACGGUCCAA